GAGGGUAUAGCUCAAGUGAUAGAGCGCAUGCUUAGCAUGCAUGAAGUCCUGGGUUCAAUCCCCAGUACCUCCU
rnacentral:tRNA from 1 species